CUAAUUUUUCGAUUUUAAAGAACAAACAAGUGUGUCCUGGCUUGAACUUAUAAAACUUGUAAUUAUUUAUACAGGUUGAAUACAGAGGUCAUCAUUCUACUUGCAAUGUUAAAGAAACAGAAAAACCAGAGAAUCUCAAACAAGACGAUGAAGAAAUGGAAGGGGAAGAAGGAAAAGAAGACGAAGAAGAAAACGUAGAAGAACAUGAUGAACAUAAUGAAACUGAAGAUCAAGAAGCGUAUGUAAUUUUGUCAGAUGGUGAAGAUAAUGGGACUACACCCACAGAGAAAGAAUCACAACAACAAAAAGAAGAAACAACAGAGGUCUGCAUUCCUUAACUUUUUAAAAAGACAUGAUAAAAUUGUCAAAAAAUAAAAAUUUUGUUUUGAUGUUUUGGUUUACAGGUUCCAAAAGAGACCAAGAAAGAUAAUGAAGAUGUUAGACAAACACCACUCUCUAAUAAAGAAGAAAAAAGCACUCAGGAACAAAACAGUGGUAAGUUGUUUUUACAUUCACAGAUGAUUUGCCUUGAAAAACAACUUCUAAC
rnacentral:sRNA from 1 species